rnacentral:rRNA from 1 species
GAUGAACGCUGGCGGCGUGCCUAAUACAUGCAAGUCGAGCGAACAGACGAGGAGCUUGCUCCUCUGACGUUAGCGGCGGACGGGUGAGUAACACGUGGAUAACCUACCUAUAAGACUGGGAUAACUUCGGGAAACCGGAGCUAAUACCGGAUAAUAUAUUGAACCGCAUGGUUCAAUAGUGAAAGACGGUUUUGCUGUCACUUAUAGAUGGAUCCGCGCUGCAUUAGCUAGUUGGUAAGGUAACGGCUUACCAAGGCAACGAUGCAUAGCCGACCUGAGAGGGUGAUCGGCCACACUGGAACUGAGACACGGUCCAGACUCCUACGGGAGGCAGCAGUAGGGAAUCUUCCGCAAAGGGCGAAAGCCUGACGGAGCAACGCCGCGUGAGUGAUGAAGGUCUUCGGAUCGUAAAACUCUGUUAUUAGGGAAGAACAAAUGUGUAAGUAACUAUGCACGUCUUGACGGUACCUAAUCAGAAAGCCACGGCUAACUACGUG